CCUGGCAGUUAGUGAUUAAUGUGGCAGUGCAUGGGUGUACUAAUACAUUGUUUGUACUGUGUUGGGAAAGACAUCCGGUCUGCCUCUGGGCACGUACUGAAGGGCAGCUGGCACAGUCAUCUCUGGUGGUUGGCAGAUGUGCAUUUGGGAGAGUAUAUCUGCUUUUGAGCAGCUGUUUGCAUAGUGCUUGAACGCUGUGCUUGAGGAGGUCUGUCAAAUCUUGAAAGCUUACAGAUACGGGGUUUUGAAACUUUUAUUUUUUAUUACUAUUCUGUCCCCAGUAGAGUGUAAACCCUAGGAGGAACCUGUCACAGGAAAGAGCUCCUUCUGGAACUGUUCAGCACUUGGGGUGUUGUAACUGGCCUAAGAGAGCAGAUGGAAGCAUCUUCCUUGAGGGUAGGUGAGGGGGCCGAGGUAAGGGAGCAGAUGAGAGUAAGUGUCCUAGCUGUGCUGUGGCUUUGGAUGCUGUUUCAGCCUAUGCUUUUCUUUUUCUUUUGCAGGUGUGUCGCACAGGCUGAGUGGGGCCAAGCUGCACUCUGAAGAGCAGCACGAGAAGGGCGGGCUGGUUGUGAGCUGGAGCUGGAUUGGAGCAGAACGGCCGAGUAGCACGAGGUGUCCCAAGCAACGUGGGCUGUGAUGUUAGUUCCUGAGAACUGGAACAAAGCAGGUGCUGAUGGUGGUCUUCUUCGGUAGGCAAAGAGGUGCCCAAAGCCCCGUCCUGUGUAGCCUGAGCACACCUCGCUGAGGAUGAAGCAUGCUUUCCAGCAGUUCCCAAAACUGUGUUGAAGCUGAAAUGCUGUGUCUGUGUUUGUGUUGGGGUUGCUCCUUGGGGAGUGUAGGGAUGGGUUUUAAGUGGGUGCAGAGGAGGGCCUGGCCCCAGUGUCCUGUAGUGUGUUUUAACCCAUCAGCAUGGCCUUUUGGUUCUCAGGUAGCUUACUGAAUAAAUGAUUUUUCCUGCAAGUGGAA